UAAUAGCAGCUAUUCAGAUGCUGUAUUGUGGCAAUCUUUAUACACACAAUGUGAAAUUGCCAAUAGUGAAAUUGACAAGAAAUUGUUUGUUAAUAAGAAAAAACAAAAGAUCAGAAAUGUUAUGAAACUAGUCUGUACUUACAAUGCAUUGAUUUGUAAACGAAAUACAGGUAAAGAAAAUUUAGAAUCAGCAGAAAAAGAAAUAGAUUUGAAUGGGUUAACAGAAGACAAAUCAGAUUUAAAUGAACAGUGUAACAAUGUAACAGAGAGAACAUUGUCAGAAACAGUCUGUGAAUUAGAGGAUAGAGUUGAACUAAGAAAUGAUCUUAUUUGCCAGCUUAGAAAUGAAGUUAAGCACGAGUGUGUGUUAAUACAAGAAAAAUAAAGGCACAGAAUCUAAUCCCAGAACCAAUAGAUACUGAAAAUGUAUCCUCACAGAGUGAUUUGCAGAAAUAUAAAUUUCAAGACAGAGCUGCAAAACUUAAUUUGAAGAUCCAUGAACAAUUAAUGAAAAUUGUGAAAUGUAUUCCAGUUUAUGACACG